rnacentral:lncRNA from 1 species
CACGAUUUUGCCUUGGUGUUACUGAUCAUCCUACCCUAUCAUACAGUGUCAGACGGUAAAAUGUAUGAUCAUUUUGUUAACUGCACUCGUGAUGCAGUUUUGAGGACUUUCAGGGUGUCACAGGCUCUCUAGGCUAUUGUCGCCCUUCUUUCGAUCCUCUACUGGUCCUAGUUCCAGAUGUGUGAUGGCUCUAUUAAUUUGUGCAGAGUUUCCCCAAUAUAAUGGACGCAACCAGUCGUAUUGAGUAGAAGAUGAACGGUUUAAUUAAGGCCAAGUUGCCUGCUUAUAUACACAGGUCUCCAUACAAUACGAUUUUAACCCCGCCUAGGCGUCUCUGUCUGGGACAUACAUACAUGUACUUUUAAACUAAUUAUCCCCCAGUCACAAGAGGUACACUAUAUUAUGAAAAAACAUCCCAAAAUACAUAUAAGACAGAUAGGAACCACCACAAGUAUGGUAUCCCCAGGUGGCCUGGAUCGGAGAGCCCAAGUUGUCCAAACAGCGCUCAGAUCCAUGAAGUAUAGCCGAAUAGCCACCGGGGUCAAGUUUUGAUCAACCACAGCUGUUGCGGGAAUAGUUCCAUUAAAAAAAAAAAGAAAGAAAAAAAGCGGUAGCAGCCGGUCAACUUUCGGGAGUUCCUAUACGCCUGUAACUGAAGGCUCCCUCUGGCUCGUAGGGAGCGAAUGGUCUCACUGUACAGAAGUCUUUUUCCCAAACAGCGAUUUCCUGGCUUGUCUGGGAACAGAACAGGCAGUGGUGUGAUUUUCCCGGUGUUCGCGACACAAAGUGUCCGAAAUAUAGUUCCACACACUCAAUCACCAAGUACCGCUGCCUGUGUUCGGGAGACAAGAUGGCCACCAUUCACUAGAGGACGUAUUUCAGUUUUAUGAAUGGUGGCCAUCCAGAGAGAGCACUUGAGUUAAAGGUUUUAUGUGAAAUUAACGAGUCAGGAGGGUGGUCUGUGUUCGGUAGUUUAAGAGUACCGAACUCAAGAGAAUAGGUGGGUUUGAUAAUUUAAGGAGAGUUACAUAAGGGCCAGAUAUGAUAAGUCCUGGCUUCUUUGACACAGGGCAACUUCAUAGUGAACGCUGCAGCAGCAGGGCCAGAUUAAGAGCCCAGUGGGCCUGGUGCUGACAAUUAUGAUGGGGCCUAAUUACAGAAUCUUAUCGACCUAAAACACUAAAACAGUCAUACCUCUCAAAUGUCAUGUAUCUGAUGGAGUUGGUGUUGGAGGGGAAACUCAAAGGAUGCAGCUAUAAGAAAACACAUACUCUAUGCUAAUCUCUUUAUCCAAUUUAUGCUUUCAUCUUUCAAGUAAAUCCAUACCCCCUAACAGAAGUGUCCAGUGAAGGAGGAAGUCAAUGGGCGGAGCAAAAGGAUGGGCCACUGACGCGAAUCACGUGACCAGAACUGCCAAAAGGGGCGAACAUGCCCAAAAAGCGGGCAUGUUUGUCCAAAGAAUUAGAAAUCCAGCCUGGCAUCAGUGUCCCUAUGUAUCACAGUGUCAGUGUCCCCAUGUCGCCCAGUCCCCUAGUCUCCCAGUGUCUGUGUCCUCAUUUCUUCCAGUGUCCCCAUGUCUCAGUGUGUCCUGUGUCACUAGGAUACAAGGGAGGACACAGAGACCUGGGGACACAGUGAGACGGGGGCAACGAAACACCUGGGGACACGGCGGCGCUUGUGAAUACAGACAUGGGAACACUGGGACACAGAGAAAUGGGGUCACAGACACUAGGGACACAGACAUGGGAACACAGACAUUUGGGGAAACUUAGACACUAGGGACACAGAGACAUGGGAACACAGACACUGUGAGACUAGGGGACACUGGGAGACAUGGGGACACAGACACUAGGGACACUGGCUGGGAGGCAUGGGGACACAGACACUUGGGGGCACUUGUGGACAGACAUGGGGACACUGGGAGACAUAGGGACAGACAUUUGGAGACACUGAGAGACAUGGGGACACAGACACUAGGGACACUGGCAGACAUGGGGACACAGACACUGGCUGGGAGAUAUGUGGACCCUGGGAGCCAUGGGGACAGACAUUUGGGGACACUGGGAGCCAUGGGAACACAGACACUAGGGACACUGGCUGGGAGACAUGGGGCCACUGGGAGACAUGGUGUCCCUAGUGUCUCACAGCGUCCCCAUGUGUCUCAGCAUCCCCAUGUUUCCCAGUGUGCCCAAGUGUCUCAGUGUCGACAUGUCGCCUUUCCCCCCAUCCUUCACAUACCUGAGCUGUAGUCUGUCUCUGCAGGCUGGGAGCUGCCCGCAGAUCAGUGAGUAGAGAGAGGCAGGGAGAUGCUGUAACUUCCUAUCCCUGCCUCUCCAUACACAGUGACCCCUACUGGCUAGUGCUGGUAUUGCAGAGCAAUCUCUGUUUAUACUGAGAAAAAUAU